GACAGAGGGUGCUAGCGUUGUUCGGAAUUACUGGGCGUAAAGGGCGCGUAGGCGGUCUGUUAAGUUCGGUGUGAAAUCCCCUGGCUCAACUGGGGAACUGCGCUGGAAACUGGCAGACUCGAGUACCGGAGAGGAGAGUGGAAUUCCUGGUGUAGCGGUGAAAUGCGUAGAUAUCAGGAGGAACACCGGUGGCGAAGGCGGCUCCCUGGACGGAUACUGACGCUGAGACGCGAAAGCGUGGGGAGCGAACAGG
rnacentral:rRNA from 1 species